GUGACGAGUUUCAAAUCAGCCAAUGAGAACACGAUUUUAUAUCCGGGACUUGAAUUUGCCCCCCAUUAGCUGCGUUCCCAAUUUUUAACUCGAUGCCUCCUCUAGUGUUAUUUAUAAUCUCUAUGACUACGAGUACGAGAUUCGUCAAGCGAAAACGCAUGCUGUAUGCUUACGCCAUCCCGUACGUACUGACGCGAAAAAGUCGUAGCCGUCGCCCAUCUGAGUACGAAAUUGUGGAGAAAUCUCGUAGUCCUUACGACGACUUUUCAAAAAAAAAAAGAAAGUUGGCUUUUUUUUGUUUACCAAAAAUAAUUUGUAGCAUUUAUAUAGCGUUUAUCCGGCGCAAAUAAUAUAUUAGUACUAAAUAUCUGGCCUGUUUUUAAUGUUAUGACUUAUUUACACGUUUUCUAGGGGAUUUUAGUCUGCAGGAGAUUUAGUUUAUGAAACGUUUCCUCUCGUUGUUGGUUUACUGCUACAAAAGCAACAUUUAAAUGGAAACGAAAACGACUACGGUGAUUCCUCGCACGCGAUUAAAUCUCGUACUCGUAGUCGUACUCGUAGUCAAAUCUAAA